rnacentral:rRNA from 1 species
ACGGCUCAGUAACACGUGGUCAACCUACCCUGCGGACAGCGACAACGUCGGGAAACUGACGAUAAACGCUGAUAAUAAAUGGGCUCUGGAAUGCCCCAUUAAUCAAAUACUUAGGAGACCAUGUUCUUCUUUGUGCCGUGGGAUGGGACUGCGUCCGAUCAGGUUGAUGGUGGGGUAAUGGCCUACCAUGCCUAUAACCGGUACGGGCCCUGAGAGGGGAAGCCCGGAGAUGGAUCCUGAGACAAGGAUCCAGGCCCUACGGGGCGCAGCAGGCGCGAAAUCUUCGCUAUGUGCGAAAGCAUGACGGGGUCACCUCGAGUGUCAGCCGCUGAGGUUGACUUUUCCUUAGUCCAAAAGGCUAGGGGAAUAAGGGGAGGGCAAGAUUGGUGUCAGCCGCCGCGGUAAUACCAACUCCCCGAGUGGUUGGGAUGUUUACUGGGCUUAAAGCGUCCGUAGCCGGUCUAAUAAGUCUUUCGUUAAAUCCAAUGUUUCAAGCGUUGGGCUGCGGGAGAUACUGUUAGACUUGGAAGUGGAAGAGGCCGUCGGUACCUUUUGGGGAGGGGUAAAAUCCUCAGAUCCUUAGGGGACCACCAGUGGCGAAGGCGGACGGCUAGAACACGUUCGACGGUGAGGGACGAAAGCUGGGGGAGCGAUUGGGAUUAGAUACCCCGGUAGUCCCAGCUGUAAACGAUGCAGGCUAGGUGUGUGAGUAGCUAUGAGUUGCUCAUGUGCCGUAGAGAAAUCGCUAAGCCUGCCGCCUGGGAAGUACGGUCGCAAGGCUGAAACUUAAAGGAAUUGGCGGGGGAGCACCACAAGGGGUGAAUCCUGCGGUUUAAUUGGAGUCAACGCCGGG